rnacentral:rRNA from 1 species
GAGGAAAAGAAACCAACAGGGAUUGCCCUAGUAACGGCGAGUGAAGCGGCAACAGCUCAAAUUUGAAAUCUGGCUCUUUCAGGGUCCGAGUUGUAAUUUGUAGAGGGUGCUUUGGCGUUGACUGUGGUCUAAGUUCCUUGGAACAGGACGUCGCAGAGGGUGAGAAUCCCGUAUGUGGCCGCCAGUCUUCGCCGUGUAAAGCCCCUUCGACGAGUCGAGUUGUUUGGGAAUGCAGCUCUAAAUGGGAGGUAAAUUUCUUCUAAAGCUAAAUAUUGGCCAGAGACCGAUAGCGCACAAGUAGAGUGAUCGAAAGAUGAAAAGCACUUUGGAAAGAGAGUCAAAAAGCACGUGAAAUUGUUGAAAGGGAAGCGCUUGCAGCCAGACUUGCCUGUAGUUGCUCAUCCGGGCUUUUGCCCGGUGCACUCUUCUAUGGGCAGGCCAGCAUCAGUCCUGGCGGUUGGAUAAAUGUCUGCACAAUGUACCUCUCUUCGGGGAGGACUUAUAGGGCAGGCGGCAUACAACCAGCCGGGAUUGAGGUCCGCGCAUCUGCUAGGAUGCUGGCGUAAUGGCUGUAAGCGGCCCGUCUUGAAACACGGACCAAGGAGUCUAACAUCUAUGCGAGUGUUUGGGUGUCAAGCCCGAGCGCGUAAUGAAAGUGAACGGAGGUGGGAACCCCUCGGGGUGCACCAUCGACCGAUCCUGAUGUCUUCGGAUGGAUUUGAGUAAGAGCAUAGCUGUUGGGACCCGAAAGAUGGUGAACUAUGCCUGAAUAGGGUGAAGCCAGAGGAAACUCUGGUGGAGGCUCGCAGCGGUUCUGACGUGCAAAUCGAUCGUCAAAUUUGGGCAUAGGGGCGAAAGACUAAUCGAACUAUCUAGU